rnacentral:ncRNA from 1 species
AUAAGCAAACAAAUAGAUGAGUAAAUUAUUAUUUUCUCACAGAGAACUGUCAUUUUGGUGUAAGGCAGUAGGAACUAAUAAUUGAAGAUGGUCUUAAAUUAAUGUUUUUUGCCACUGAGCUAAACAGUUAGGUGACAGCGGGUGCGUCCGAUAAUACGCUAGAGUAUUCAAGCGUACUCGAAAAGGGAUAACUUGUGAGAGUUGUUCAAAAUAAGGUGGUAACACGAAAAGCAAUUUCGUCCUUAAU